rnacentral:rRNA from 1 species
AGUGAACGCUGGCGGUAGGCCUAACACAUGCAAGUCGAACGGCAGCACAGUAAGAGCUUGCUCUUACGGGUGGCGAGUGUCGGACGGGUGAGGAAUACAUCGGAAUCUACUUUUUCGUGGGGGAUAACGUAGGGAAACUUACGCUAAUACCGCAUACGACCUACGGGUGAAAGCAGGGGAUCUUCUGACCUUGCGCGAUUGAAUGAGCCGAUGUCGGAUUAGCUAGUUGGCGGGGUAAAGGCCCACCAAGGCGACGAUCCGUAGCUGGUCCGAGAGGAUGAUCAGCCAGACUGGAACUGAGACAGGGCCCAGACUCCUACGGGAGGCAGCAGUGGGGAAUAUUGGACAAUGGGCGCAAGCCUGAUACUGCCAUACCGCGUGGGUGAAGAAGGACUUCGGGUUGUAAAGCCCUUUUGUUGGGAAAGAAAAGCAGCAGGUUAAUACCCCGCUGUUCUGACGGUACCCAAAGAAUAAGCACCGGCUAACUUCGUG